UACGAAGGGGGCUAGCGUUGUUCGGAAUCACUGGGCGUAAAGCGCACGUAGGCGGAUCUUUAAGUCAGGGGUGAAAUCCCAAGGCUCAACCUCGGAACUGCCUUUGAUACUGGGGAUCUCGAGUCCGGGAGAGGUGAGUGGAACUGCGAGUGUAGAGGUGAAAUUCGUAGAUAUUCGCAAGAACACCAGUGGCGAAGGCGGCUCACUGGCCCGGAACUGACGCUGAGGUGCGAAAGCGUGGGGAGCAAACAGGG
rnacentral:rRNA from 1 species